UUUUUGUUCGUCGCCCUCUCCUUCUCAGUGGCCUUCCCUCAUUUCGCUCCGGCGGCUACGAGGGGCGACGACUCUACUUCUGCGACGAAUUCGGUGACGUAGAGAGGUGCUGCAGCGGUCGGGUGUUGCCAGCAUCAGCCUCGAAGGACUUCACGGGCACAGCGACCGACGGUUUCUAGCGGGGCACCGGCAGUGAGAAGCUGCGGCAUCCACCACCGGAAACCUUGCUCGGUGGAAGUUGGAUCCGCUCCGGUAUUGUAUAUUUUUAUAGGAAACGAGGGGUUUCUAAUUGAGAACCAGAGAAAAAGGAUGACCAGUUCGUAGCGGUCGACCUCCAUAUCUGCAUUCCAGUUUAUACCCUUAGUUGAACGGCGCGCUAGAAUAUUUCCUAAUUUUCUAUGAAUCUCCUCGUUUUCCCUAAUCACACAAUUUGUAUGCAUCGUGCUGAUUUACUGUCGUAGCAUUGCCACCUUUUACCUUGCCAAAAGAAUGGAUGGGGAGUCAGAGCUGAAACCGAGCCGUCUAUUGGUUCUAUAUGCUUCCCAAACCGGGAACGCUAUGGAUGCUGCUGAGCGGGUUGGAAGGGAGGCAGAGCGUGGUGGCUGUCCUUCUGUCCAAGUCAUCUCCAUUGAUCGGUUUGAUAUGAAUUUCUUGCCACAUGAAAAUAUUGCAGUUUUUGUUGUUUCCACCACAGGGCAGGGUGAUGUGCCAGAUUCAAUGAAGGUUUUCUGGAAGUUUCUUUUGCAAAGGCGUCUCAGCAAUAAGUGGUUGGAAGGACUUCAAUACGCUGUUUUUGGGCUGGGUGAUUCAGGGUACCAGAAAUAUAAUUUUACUGCAAAGAAAUUGGAUAAAAGGCUUUCCGAUCUCGGAGCAAUGCUUUUAAUUGAAAAAGGUCUAGGGGAUGAUCAGCACCCUUCUGGAUAUGAAGGUGCCUUAGAUCCUUGGUUGUCAUCUUUUUGGAAGAAGCUGAAUAUGAUGCAUCCCAACAUUUUGCCUAGGAUAUCGGAUAUUAUGGACCCUUCUAUGAGAAGUUUGGAGCAAGCAAAAUUUGAGGUCACAUACCAUUUGUCGGACAACAUCCAACUGGAGCUUUCAAAUGUAUCUGACUUGAAGGAGACUGAGAAGGUGAUUGAGAGUGCACUUUCAAUGUCGCCAGUCCAGUUUUACUAUCAGAACAAGAAGCCACAUUAUUUCUUGAAGAUGAUAACUAAUCAUCAACUAACAAAACCAAGCCAGAGUAGAGAUGUACGCCACUUUGAGUUUGAAAGUUCAUUGAAUUCCAUUAACUAUCAAGUGGGUGAUGUUCUUGAGAUUCUCCCAAGUCAAAAUCCUGCAGCUGUUGAUGCAUUUAUUAGGCGCUGUAACUUGGAUCCAAACUGUUACAUCACUGUCAAUCCCAGAGAUGCAGCCAAGCCAUCCAUUGGUAGGCACACAAUGAACAUGGUGCACCCUGUUAAACUGAAGAGUUUUGUGGAGCUCACCAUGGAUGUGGCAUCAGCUUCUCCUCGGCGUUACUUCUUUGAGGUGAUGAGCUUUUAUGCUACAGCUGACCACGAAAAGGAAAAACUUCAGUAUUUUGCCUCUCCAGAAGGAAGGGAUGAUUUGUAUGAGUACAAUCAGAAGGAGCGGAGAUCUGUUCUUGAGGUACUGGAGGAUUUUCCAUCUGUGGAGAUGCCAUUCGAAUGGUUGGUGCAAUUGGUCCCUCCGCUAAAAACAAGAGCAUUUUCCAUCUCCUCAUCUCCUUCUGUUCAUCCAAAUCAAGUGCACCUAACUGUGAGCAUUGUUUCAUGGAUCACUCCGUUCAAGAGAACGCGAUAUGGUCUCUGUUCAUCAUGGCUUGCUGGACUUGAUCCAUGCGAAACCAACGAAUUUCACAUUCCCGCGUGGGUCACUCGAGGCGCUUUGCUACGGCCUCUACCAUCAGUACCACUCAUUCUUGUGGGACCAGGAACAGGAUGUGCACCAUUCAGGGCAUUUGUGGAGGAACGUGCUCAACAGAAAUUAACCAGAUCAGUAUCUCCUGUUCUCUUCUUCUUUGGGUGUAGGAAUGAAGAAAAUGAUUUUUUAUAUGAGAAUUUCUGGUUGUCUCAUGCCCAAAAUGACGGGGUGUUAUCCACAAACAAGGGUGGCGGUUUUUUUGUUGCAUUCUCUAGAGAUCAGCCGCAAAAGGUAUAUGUGCAGCAUAAGAUGAAGGAAGAGAGUAAAAGAAUUUGGAAUCUUCUUAGUGCAGGUGCUGCAAUAUAUAUUGCAGGGUCCUCCACGAAGAUGCCAGCAGAUGUGACUUCGACUCUGGAAGAAAUUAUUAUGGAAGAAAGUGGGAUCUCUAAAGAAUCAGCUGCAAAAUGGCUCCGUCUACUAGAGAAGGCUGGUAGAUUUUUCAUUGAGGCAUGGUCUUGAACUAUGAGACUUUUGGAUCGAUGCAGGAAAUGAAUAUUAUGGUUUGAUCCAACAUCUAUUUGAUCCGAUCAAGGUGCACGCCACUGAGAUGAGCACGGUCGAUUAGUAUUUCUCACAGUACUCACAUCGGUAAUUGAAAUAAUACAGUUUCUUUCUGAUAGUCAUUCAGUAAUAUGGGAAUCAACUUUUAGCAACACUUUUGUGCAAGAGACACUACAGAUAUUAUCCAACACUCGGGUUUAUUUGGUGUUGCUUUGUCAUCAGCUGUGUAGAUCAUCAUGACUUCAGUAUGCAUUCUGUAGGAGUAAACAUGGUUCUGAUGAACUUCUGCAUUCUUGAUGUUCGAUCAUGCUGAGGCAGAUCAUAUUCUCAGUCAAGACAAUAUGCUUAGAGAUCGUCAGACAUUUUCGUAAAGCUUGCCUACAUUAUCGGAAAGAAUGAUUGAAAAAUGAGCAAACUUUUGGUCCAACUGGGAACUUGAUCUUUGCAGUCGAACAAUGGCACAUCUGCUUGUUCGCAGCAACUAAACCAGUCUGUAAGGGUCAUUCUUCAAUCAAAUGGUUCAGUUAGAAUGCUACUGUUCCAUGAUUGGCAGUCUAAUAAGUUGCACAAAACAUUUAGCAAACUUUUUAUUUUGUAACAUACCAUUGAACUUUAGAUGGGGAACCAAACUUAAAUCGAUAAGCUGUUAACAAUCCAA